UACGAAGGGGGCUAGCGUUGCUCGGAAUCACUGGGCGUAAAGCGCACGUAGGCGGAUCCUUAAGUCGGGGGUGAAAUCCUGGAGCUCAACUCCAGAACUGCCUUUGAUACUGAGGAUCUUGAGUUCGGGAGAGGUGAGUGGAACUGCGAGUGUAGAGGUGAAAUUCGUAGAUAUUCGCAAGAACACCAGUGGCGAAGGCGGCUCACUGGCCCGAUACUGACGCUGAGGCACGAAAGCGUGGGGAGCAAACAGG
rnacentral:rRNA from 1 species